ACCAAAAUGGUGGAAUUGGUAGACACGCUAGGUUUAGGUUCUAGUUUAAUAUUUAGUAAGGGUUCAAGUCCCUUUUUUGGUA
rnacentral:tRNA from 1 species